rnacentral:tRNA from 1 species
CCUUGUGUGGUGCAAACGGUUAACGCAUUCAGCUGCUACCCGAAAAGUUGGUGGUUUGAGUCCACCCAGAGGCA